AUGCACGACGGCGAUGGCGACGUCGGGGGCAGCAGCCAGACGACAGAUCCAUGGCAGCAGGAAUUCAGCUGCACCGAGCUGCUCUCCACGCUCAUCCCCAACACGCCCUUCCCUCUCAUGCAGCACCGCCUGGGCCCCGACGACGGCAAUUACCUGCCGAAGAUGGUGCCGGCGGCGCAGGACCAGCUCGAGGCCUCCGCCAGCUGCUCCUACAACAUGCCCACCAGCGACGAGAGCGGCACGACCGUCAUGGCCUACGACGGCGGCGGUGGCGUUCCGCCGCCCAACGUCGACUGA
rnacentral:rRNA from 1 species